GACAGAGGAUGCAAGCGUUAUCCGGAAUGAUUGGGCGUAAAGCGUCUGUAGGUGGCUUUUUAAGUCUGCCGUCAAAUCCCAGGGCUUAACCCUGGACAGGCGGUGGAAACUACCAAGCUGGAGUACGGUAGGGGCAGAGGGAAUUUCCGGUGGAGCGGUGAAAUGCGUAGAGAUCGGAAAGAACACCAGCGGCGAAGGCACUCUGCUGGACCAUAACUGACACUCAGGGACGAAAGCUAGGGGAGCGAAUGGG
rnacentral:rRNA from 1 species